rnacentral:sRNA from 1 species
AAAUGGCCCAUGCGAUCAAGAUUGUACAUCGGUGCUACUGGUCAGUUUCUGAAGCAUUCUGUUUCUGGAGAAAAAACAAAUCAUGACAACACUCCAACAGGCUCACAGCCUUAGGCUCUCCCCUGGUGGGGGCUGGUAGAAGUGGUGGCUAUUGUUUUUAAAUACUAUGACAUAAUUCUAUAUUUAUUAUAUGAGACAUAACAAAAUUUCUGAAAGUUUACAUGUGAACCCAUAGUUGGAUGUUCAGGUUUAUCUGUCUAAAUGUGGAAUGAAAUAAUCAGUGUUAUAUAAAACACACAGCUUAUCUGUUCAGUGUGAGAGUCACUACUGUAUAGUGCAAGAGAAAUUAUUAGAAAAAAGGAGUCACAUGAAAGCAAACAAUUGUGUAUAUAGCUAAAUAAUGCAAUAUAGAUAUUGCUAUAGUGUAUCUAUUACAAACAGAAAAGUUCAUGUCUAUUGGUGCAGUCUUCCUAGUUUAAAAAGAUAAAAAUCUGUGUUUAUAAUAUACCAGUAUUCCUUUUUUGUGAAAACCAUACCGUGCUUAAGUUGGUCUAAGACGCCAUUUCAAAA